GGGAUUGUGGCUCAGUGGUAGAGCACUUGCCUCACAAGUAUGAGGCCCUGGGUUCGAUCCCCAGGACCACA
rnacentral:tRNA from 1 species